GGACUGCGAGAUCAUGACUUAAGCUGAAAUCAAGAGUUAGUCGCUUAACAAACUGAGCCACCCAGGCUCCCCAAAGGGCACAUUUUAUAAAGGAAGCAAAUAUUCUCAUUCAAAAUGAAAAACCUAAGUAAGGAGAGUUGAUUGAUUAUGAACAAGUAGACUUAUUCAUCCUAAGCUCAUUUACUGCACGGGUAGUUCCAUUUUCAUGGAUUGGAACCAAAUGGUGCCCUACAAGUUAUCAGUCUCUACCACUCAAGUGAUGUUUGAAUAUUCCCAGAAAUAUUCCUGCCAGCUGGUUAAUCUAAACAGUGUAAAAGUAGGAAGGGAGUUCUCUUAAGUCAUACCUGAGUCCAUUGCAUCUUUGGUUAAUCCUCAUAAUUGACAAAAUAUGAUUCCCUACAAUUAAUCACCUAUUAGUCUUUAGGUUUUUCACUGGGUCAAACAGAAGAAGCUGAAUCUUUCAGGUGAUUCAGCUCUUUCAGCUCUCACACCCUCCUGCCCUCCAGAUUUUCUAUUUGCAUUAAGUAAUUCCAACUUGUCCAUGCUGCAUUUAAUGUCAGCCAGUUUCAGCAAACAGUUGUGGUUUCAGUAAAGUGUCUUAUGCAGAUAUAUUUCCUUGAUUCCUUCAUAUUAAUUCUAAAGAGACUUGGAGAAUUGUUCUCUGUCUACGAAACACUGCUUUUACAGUGCAACCGUCUGUUGUGUUUUCCAACUGCAUGUUUCAGUUCUCUUGCAGAAACAGUAACUCAAGAACACUUGGAUCCUGGGAACUGAAGGUAUGGUAUAACCAGGGGAUCAGAUAGAAAUAUUUAGUUAACAUAUGAAAUUGCAAUUCAUUCAUUAUACUGACCAUGUUUUCACUAUAUUUAAGGUAGAAAAGACUUGUCCUCAGUAGAAUAUGGAGGACCCAUUAUACUUUGAGAAAGUUACCAGGCCCUAUGAAAAUCCAUUUGAGUGUUUAUCACAGGAGAAGGGAAUCCUAUGACUGUUUCGUAUGAAUUGCAGCCAAUAUCAGAUGUCAAGGUCCACGUGAGCUGGUUAACCUGCCAGCUGAGUAAGGCUGCAGCCACUGCAGCACCCUGGAGACUGCCUUUCUGACAAUACUGCUGCAGAAGUGGUGGAAGGAAGGCACCAGGAGACUGUUUUAGCAAUAUCAUUUGUAUUUGAAAUACAGAAAUCAGGAACUGUGUGAAAAAACGAGUACUGUUUUCUUUAGAAGUUGGGAAAUUAUUGAGCACUAAAGGGUAACCAAAGUACUUACAGAUACUCCUAUGAAUCUAUACUCUUAUUUUCCUGCUUCUACUCCAUUUCUGAUUUUGUAGGUAAAUGCUGUUGCUGCUAACUGAUUUUCUUGCUUCCAUAUUAUCAUUUUUCAGCGUUAGUAAUACACAGGUGGUAGCAUUCAUUAGCACAGAGUUCUUAAAGGGUUUUUGUGUUGGUUCUGUUAUUUUUUGUUUGUUUAAUGCUAAAAGAAGAAUUAAAGUAAUCUAAAGUCAUCGAAUUAAAAUCACACUUAUUUAGUGGAA